GUAGUGACAUCGGGAGGGUCGUGGCGUGCGAUGUUCCUACGUCGCGGACAGCACAGGGUGGGUUGCUGUGUCGUGCCGGCUUAGGCCUCGGCAAGGUAAGGUGCUGCGCGACUGACGUCUCCCGAACAGCCGCGCAUGCCGGCUCUGCGGGCUUCAAGCACGGAGGACCCGUCGGCUCGGCCUACUGCUCUUCAUGAGGAGCCGGGUUCGGCGGAACAAUGGCACAUUCCCCCUGGGACCUCCAGGGUGGGCAAGGCCAAGGGUGGGGCCAGCCAUGACCCGGGAGCAUAAAAGCGGGGUCCCCACAUGGACCGGGAUUCAGCGUUGCUACCGUCAUUUGAAGAUCUACGUUUUACGUCGAAGAAGAGUCUCCAACACAUGGAUCCGGACCCGAGCCGGAGUCCAGCCCAUUGUAGCUAACUCCCAGUGUGUUAGUGUAGUUUAGCCGGGUGGUCCACCACCCAAGGCUAUUCCACCACCCGAGGCUGUUAUCUGGUAAGGGGGCAGCUACCCCUUUGUGUAUUACGUGUUGGUGUAAUAAAUGUGU